rnacentral:lncRNA from 1 species
CGCAACUAGGGACUUGGAGGACGCCCGGGAUCACUCCGGUGCUGUUGCAGUGGUUUCCGCGUCUGAAACACGCCAUGCUGAGCCGUCGCCGCGUCUUUGCGGUGGAGCAACUUGGCGGCCGGGGUGAGUCGCGUUGCCUCCUACCCAUUCUCCAGACCCGCUCGAGCGACGUCCACCGGCCGCACCCCCUCGUUUCCUUGCUUUGAAGGAGUAGAGUGAAUAGGCUUGGGACGCCAUACACAGUGCAGAUCCUCCGGGAUUUGCGGUCAAUCACCCACCACCCUUAUCCUAUUGGUCUGUGGUCUCCUUCCCCCUAAUCCCAGUUGUGGAAGCUUCUAUGUGAGGUUGGGUGAUUCCGAUAUCCUUGCCCCAGCCAGCAGUCCUUUGGUGGCCACAAACUCAUUCUCGGGGAUGGUUGGCGGGCA